GACACUGUAGUCUAGUGGUUUAGGAUACUCCCCUUCCACUUAACAAGUUUCUUCCUAAAAAGAAGUAACAAGGCGAGGGAGUGACACGGGUUCGAAUCCCGUCAGUGUCA
rnacentral:tRNA from 1 species